UACGUAGGGGGCAAGCGUUGUCCGGAAUCAUUGGGCGUAAAGCGCGUGUAGGCGGCCCGAUAAGUCCGCCGUGAAAGCCCAGGGCUCAACCCUGGGAUGCCGGUGGAAACUGUCGGGCUAGAGUCCGGAAGAGGCGAGUGGAAUUCCUGGUGUAGCGGUGAAAUGCGCAGAUAUCAGGAGGAACACCAAUGGCGAAGGCAGCUCGCUGGGACGGUUACUGACGCUGAGACGCGAAAGCGUGGGGAGCGAACAGG
rnacentral:rRNA from 1 species